rnacentral:rRNA from 1 species
ACUCCUACGGGAGGCAGCAGUAAGGAAUAUUGGUCAAUGGAGGCAACUCUGAACCAGCCAUGCCGCGUGCAGGAAGACGGCCCUCUGGGUUGUAAACUGCUUUUAUUCGGGAAUAAACCCUUUUACGUGUAAGAGGUUGAAUGUACCGAAAGAAUAAGGAUCGGCUAACUCCGUGCCAGCAGCCGCGGUAAUACGGAGGAUCCAAGCGUUAUCCGGAUUUAUUGGGUUUAAAGGGUGCGUAGGCGGCUUAUUAAGUCAGGGGUGAAAGACGGUGGCUCAACCAUCGCAGUGCCUUUGAUACUGAUGAGCUUGAAUACACUUGAAGUAGGCGGAAUGUGACAAGUAGCGGUGAAAUGCAUAGAUAUGUCACAGAACACCGAUUGCGAAGGCAGCUUACUAAGGUGCAAUUGACGCUGAGGCACGAAAGCGUGGGGAUCAAACAGGAUUAGAUACCCUGGUAGUCCACGCCCUAAACGAUGAAUACUCGAUGUUAGCGAUAUACUGUUAGCGUCUAAGCGAAAGCGUUAAGUAUUCCACCUGGGGAGUACGCCCGCAAGGGUGAAACUCAAAGGAA